UAGUAAGAAGCGAAAUAUCGCAAUCAGUUUCGACCUGAAAAUUGGUAAAUAACUACCCUUACUCA
rnacentral:tRNA from 1 species